CCGCGGUAAUACGAAGGGGGCUAGCGUUGUUCGGAAUUACUGGGCGUAAAGCGCACGUAGGCGGUUUUCCAAGUUGGAGGUGAAAUCCCCGGGCUUAACCCGGGAACUGCCUCCAAAACUGGGACACUCGAGUCCGAGAGAGGUGAGUGGAAUUUCCUGUGUAGCGGUGAAAUGCGUAGAUAUAGGAAGGAACACCAGUGGCGAAGGCGACCACCUGGGCUAAUACUGACACUGAGGUGCGAAAGCGUGGGGAGCAAACAGG
rnacentral:rRNA from 1 species